GAGUUAAAGCUUAAUAUAAAGCAAUUUAUUUACAUUAAAAAGAAUGUUGUGAAAUUCAAUAUAACUUGAA
rnacentral:tRNA from 1 species